ACCCAUUUCCGCGGUGGACAGAAGCGCAAGGAAGAGAACCUCCUCCUAUUGAAGUGCCAUCAGCAUCAACUACGCCACACACAUGGGUGCAGCCAGUGCAGUACUUACCGCAGUCUGCCGACCCCUCGCCACCAGGGCUCGUACAAGACUCUCGUUGCCAAAGUUCCCAGCUCAUGUCUACGGACUGCAGGCCACAGCAGUUAUCCCGUUUUCCAGGGGUAACUCACCCACAGCUGCAGUGUACUUCGCCUCUUCAAAGUAAUCUGAAUUGGGAGACUAAACACAUUAUAGCUUUCUUGUGGUUGCAGGCAUUGGUGCCGACUUUGUGCGAAG